rnacentral:rRNA from 1 species
UACGGGGGGGGCAAGCGUUGUUCGGAAUUACUGGGCGUAAAGGGCUCGUAGGUGGCCAACUAAGUCAGACGUGAAAUCCCCCGGCUUAACCGGGGAACUGCGUCUGAUACUGGAUGGCUUGAGUUCGGGAGAGGGAUGCGGAAUUCCAGGUGUAGCGGUGAAAUGCGUAGAUAUCUGGAGGAACACCGGUGGCGAAGGCGGCAUCCUGGACCGACACUGACGCUGAGGUGCGAAAGCGUGGGGAGCAAACAGG